GAUGAACGCUGGCGGCGUGCCUAAUACAUGCAAGUAGAACGCUGAAGGAAGGAGCUUGCUCUUUCCGGAUGAGUUGCGAACGGGUGAGUAACGCGUAGGUAACCUGCCUGGUAGCGGGGGAUAACUAUUGGAAACGAUAGCUAAUACCGCAUAACAGUAGAUGUUGCAUGAUAUCUACUUAAAAGGUGCAAUUGCACCACUACCAGAUGGACCUGCGUUGUAUUAGCUAGUUGGUGAGGUAACGGCUCACCAAGGCGACGAUACAUAGCCGACCUGAGAGGGUGAUCGGCCACACUGGGAGUGAGACACGGCCCAGACUCCUACGGGAGGCAGCAGUAGGGAAUCUUCGGCAAUGGACGGAAGUCUGACCGAGCAACGCCGCGUGAGUGAAGAAGGUUUUCGGAUCGUAAAGCUCUGUUGUAAGAGAAGAACGAGUGUGAGAGUGGAAAGUUCACACUGUGACGGUAUCUUACCAGAAAGGGACGGCUAACUACGUG
rnacentral:rRNA from 1 species